rnacentral:rRNA from 1 species
CAAUCGCCUAGCCGAAGGGGGGAGACGAGGAGGUGGGCGGCGGUGGGAGAGGAGGAGGAAGGACGGCGGUGGGAGAGGAGGCCGGUCUAGCGGGACAGCGAGGCAGAGCUAAGGAAAGGAGACGGUUCCAUCUGGGCAAAGCCAGGGAGAGGAGGCGGGUCUAGCGGGGUAGGGCCAGGUAGAGGAAGCGGCUCCUGCUGUAGGGAGAGGAGGCCGUUCCAGCGGCGGCGUCCAGGAGCAGGAGCAGUUAGGGAAGAGUAGGUGACGUUAGAAAACGGCCUAGGCAGGUGGGAAGCGGCGGAGAUGACGUCUAGCUAGGACACCGUGGCGGGACGUCUAGGGCUGGAGGUUCGGUUCUGGAUCAAGGUGGAAGCCGUGGAACGUUCCAUAUUCGGGGCAGGUACCUAACCGAAGAAUUAAUUUCUUCUAGAACCUAUGUAAUUGUUGAUCAUGAUCGACGACUACGUGAACUAACUUUUCACCGAGGUAACCGACGAAUUAAAGACGUAUACGUACUAACUGUGGUAACAUGGUAUUAUUCCGACAGUAUUAAGAUUCCUAGUAGAGUUCAAAGUCAUGAUCAUCUUUGAACUUGGACUCGUAUGUCGAAGUACGGUCGAUCUGAGUACAAAAGUGUCAUUAGUAGGUCCAUCCAUUAAGGAACCAUUCAUGAUGGCCAGUAAUCUAAGGUGGACACCAGAUUUUGAUUUACUUAUGCGGUCGGUCUUGGUGGUCGUACUGAAAGUCCUAAAGGGUUCAAUUCGGCGAUCGGUUGACUUGGUAUAAAACUUACCAAUAAAAAACUGUCAUUUGGCAUCCCCUCCGGGGGUUUUCACAUAUUAAAAACGUUUCCCAUUGAUACCGGUCUAACAGUAUUUCUUAAUUCGUUUACGACUGCAAAACAGACAUAGAAGUAGUCGGUAAGUCGGGUGUUCUUACCGUCCGACGAGUUUCUAACAUUGUUUUAAGAUUUGAAUCUUAUCUUCUCAUUUAAACAUUACCGCUUUUGUGUCUCACGCGUAAGUUGUGUAUGUUGUAAUUCAUAUAUGUUUAAACCCUUUAUCGGAGGUCUAAACAUGAAUCCAUACCUAGUCUUGGCGGUUUGGAUUAGCAUCAGAUACGUCGUGGAACGGAGGAAGUACUAGUUGUUUUCUUAGACGUAUACAUGUCCUAGACGUAUACAUAGUAGUGAUCACUAUGUUUCCACAAAACAUAAUACUCUCAGGUCCUUCUAAUUCUAACCGGGGGGAACAGUAUCGAAAAACAAGAACAACAACAACGAAUUAAGGAGAAGUUAAAUACAAGAAUGAAGAAAAUAAAAAGUCUUUAGGACUUUCGUAAGACGUUCACACAUUUGAUCUAAAGAUGGUUAGAAGAAUUUAGUAAGAGUAAAGGAUUUAGAGGAACUUUUCUACGAUACCAGAGUCUUUCACGAACUGCUUGCCGAGAUUGCUAUUUUAGGACGUGUGUUUAUUUCGCUUCGUUAAUUUUGUGCCGUCGAUCGAUUAUCAUACGUACAGUCUGGCUUAUUAAGUUACGAGAAUUUUUAGCAAUAUAUUACUCUUUAUAUAGGUAAAAGAUCGUAAUAAUCAUUCUUUAACGUUAUUUAUAAUCCUACAUUAUUGAUCUUAUGAGUAGCUAUAAAUGGACCCAUACUAGACUCCUUACGACGGAAAAUCAUACCGUUGAGGACCACCCUUAACGUAGUCGUUUUCUUCUAAAUAGAGACAGAUCUAAGUCCAAGAGGGUGGGGGACGUAAGGAAGGAAUUCAAUUCUUAACAUUCUUCUUUAACGUGUUAAAGUAUGAGGAGAUUGUUCCUUAGGAAUUAACGAGGACUUUAUCUCCACGUACGUAGCCUAUUAUUAUAUAUUACUGUUCACUUUGGGAUUUGAAGCAUCCUCAGAAAUGGACAGUUUUGAUCGGACCCUGUUCUAAGCAGUAUGGUUUAUAUCCUAUAUCUUGUGGUCCUCACAGAUUGUGUAUAUAUAAACCUACUGAUCGUUGGACUUUUGAUCUUUGAAGGACAACAAUUCUAAAUCCCCGACAAACCAAGAUCCUGAUCGUAACGGUGUGGAACGGUGUGUAAAAACGGUUCGAACGGAUUCCAAUCAAGUAGUUUUACUCUCGGUGUUCAACCGUUCGGAUUCCCUUAGAACGGUGUGAAAAACACACAUACGGUACACCCCAGGUUCACACCGAACGGAUUCCACACCGUACUUGGUUUGUGAGUGGAUUCAACCAGUUUGAACGGAUUGGAAUCAACACCGUUAGAAACCGAUUCAAUCAGUGUUUGGUUUGUCGGGGAUUUACUGUGUAAUGUUAGUAUAUUUAUCAAGGGCUCGGUACCCUAUAACUACCAUCGUCUGUGUCCUUCCAAUAUCCAGUGGUUAGAAUAGACACGAUCAUCCGAUUUUUCCUGUUUGAUGCGAGCGGUUUCUAUGAUCGUUACUUGAAUAAAAAACGAAUUAAGAACUUCGUAUUGACUGUUUACUAUUACAAUCGAAGAGUUAAUUGGUACCUAACACUCAGCGCGCUGAUCAGCAGCUGAUCAGCUACUCAGCGUUUUUUUACAACUGAGUUGAAUCACAGCUGAGUACUUAACAAAACGCCUUUUGUACUGACGUCCGAGCUGGAAAAGUCUCAGCGAUGGGGUCUUGCUGAGUAGGCUCAGCGCUGAGCUUUUGGUACGUUAAUUGGGUAACGGAGUACAAAAGGCGUUUUGUUUUGUUUUUUGAUAACGGAAUAAUACAAUAAUCCAUCAAGACGUCAUUAUAUGUUUAUUUAAACUGUAUACGUCAACUGGGUUGUUUGUUGUGAUUGUACCUCAAACACAUUUAAGUUGGCAUUAUGUUGUAUACUCUGAAUCCAAAUACACUGACACACUCGGUACUCCGCAGACCGGAGCCCGAGAACGUGCGGGAACAUGAAAAACGGAGAGUGCGAAGUACAACACACGACUAAUUCCGGGAUUAACCUUAUUUAUUUAAACAUCUUUAAAACAUCCUAACUUAAAUAUAUCCCUUUUAAGGUUGUCAAGUCAAACCUUGCUUCUUUACCGAGGGGUUCUAAAUACACUACCUUACUCCUCGUUGGGUAUACUUAAGACUUCCUUUUUUUGUACACCAAAAUAGAGCAAAAAAAAGGAAUACAGAUCUUAAAGGUGUAAAUAGGACACGUCAUAGGUUUGCUUUCAAAACCUCAUGAUGAAACAUAAACUAACCUAAGUACAUUCCAGAAAAAAAAGGCUUUUCCUAGGUCUAUUUAAGUACGAUGUACUGUAGAGAUAAAGAAGUCAAAAAGAAAAGAACGCAAAAAAUCAAGUGUGCAAGGUUAGUCCUGUAUUGAAAUUCACUUUACCAUCGUUAUUAUGUACCGCUCAAUUUCUGUACUGAUGAAACCUUCGCUACUUCAUACUUUUUAACGCCUUUAUCCUCUAUUACACACCAUGUGUUGACCCCAACUAGCAACUAACCUUAGGGGGUUUUCGUCAACGACUUCAAGUUUAAUCCGUUACCUAGACCUGUGUCUCUUAGCAGAUCGAAGUAAUGAGGAACUUCUUCGUGCCUCUAAUGUCAGUCUCCGACUGUCCCUUCCACAAGUACGUAUAGACGUUUUCGGGUUACAAUCCGUAGCGGGUUUGAGGGCCAAGGAGUGUCGGUGUCAAGCACCUCAAGUUGUUCGUUUGGCACAACACCUCCAACUACUUUACACCGCACGGUCCCUCUUCCUUGAACUUGAACUCAGAUUCGACUUUUCUUCUUUAUUUCUCGCACCACUGAGAUCUCCCCUCUUUGCGUUUCCACUGAGCUCUUUAUACUCAAGGUCGAGUUUCUAACUUCUUCCCUGACGAAUAUUAUCAAGAAUGAGUCUGGUCCUACUACCAGAUCCCCUACUACUUCAACUUUUCAAAGACGUAAGUUCCCAUUUCGCUCCUUCUCCACGGCAACCGAGAUCCUACCUACUUGGACCAGGUAUGGAUUUCCUAAGUAGCGUAACAGCUCUGUUUCUUGGAUCGGGCCUAUAUGCAAACCUUCUUUUUACCCUUGCGGCUCACGUUCCAGGCCUCUCCGGUGACAAAAACUCUAGGUUCAGAGAACUACUAACAACCGUACCCCUUUGUAACCUACUAUUAUUCGGUAGAUCGAGAAGACUUCGUGUGUCCUUCUUCCUUUUAUUUUUCCUCUCCUCUAGCCUCUUUUUUCUCUCUUUUCUGUUCUUCUUCCGGUUCGUAGCGGUGGCGGUGGUGGUAGUGUUUUCGGCUUCUUCCCUCACUACACGGGGUAAUGACUUGAUGUUAAACAUGUGUUCUUUCUUUCCCAAGACAAUGACUUUCUACGACGAUGUACGACGAUAAUGAACAAGCAACCCUUGGACACAACAUUGAUUUUGAGGCGGUCGCGCGUGUUCCCCUACGCCAACCGUGACACGGGGCACAAAUUUGUACAAUACACAACGAGCUCAACUUGAAGGAAACGGAUAUUGUACUAACCGUAGACUACUCUCACUAGCGAAAGCG